rnacentral:lncRNA from 1 species
CACGCUGUGUCAAAGCAACGAACCAAGCAAGCAACUGCGUGGAUGGUAACCGCAACAAACACCUACCAAUGGAUCACACCCAUUAGUUCCCUCAAGCAGAAACCUGCAAAGAUAACGAAGGGCACACAGCCCAGUCCAAGCAAACGCACAGCACCGACCCCGUGGUAUAUGAUAAAUGCUCUACUAACGGCUCACUGGUACCAUCCACUAGCACGGGUAUUGCUCCUGGCCUUGCUAGCGUGUUUUGUAUAACGUCUUUGAACUGUCACUUUUCCUCGUGUCCAUAUCCGUUCGUAGUGGCGAGGUCAGCAAGGCAAGCACGCACGGGCCAAUACUCAUGCACUCCCGGGCAGUGCAUCCGCUGCGGCUCAACACAGAAUCUGAUCACUGGCUAGCAGGCGGAAGCCGGUCACUCCGCCAAAACCCAAACUACCGGGCCGGCCCCCCCUGGUCCUCCGGCUAGCCUCUGAACAUGUGGAGACCUAGAUCACGAGUUUCUGCCGUACCAAAGUACGCCUCAACCUGCACCUGGACACAUGGCCUCCUAGCGAGCGCACCCCAGCCAGCUGCUGGGACAUAAAAAAGCGAGCAGGGAAGAACCUGCUCCUGGCCAGCUGUGUGAAUGCUAUUGCGGUGCGACGAAGCCUAUCAUAUCCUUCUCAUCAAGGCUUCCCAUUUUCGGUUCCAUAGCACAGCGCGUAGUUCUUGACCUUGCAGUCGUUCACAUACGCCUUAUCGCCUCCCUUGGAAUUCACAUACGUGCAAGAAUCGGCCUUCUCGUCUGAUAGCCAGCAGCCCUUGCCGCUGUGGUAGCAGGCUGAAUCAACAGCGUCUGCAGGGGGCGGAUGUGGUAGGGAGCCCGUAAGUGGGUAGCUGUAGGUUCCACCCAAAGCAUGAAUGUAAGAAGAAAGCAUGUGGGGUGCGGGCCCGCCAUACAUACGGCUGCUAAAAACGGCUAUCACAUAUGGUCGGCAAGCCUGCGCGCCCCUUUGCGUUAAUUCAUUGAAUCCGCUCCACAGCGCUAUAUAAGGCGAGUUCUUUGUACAACUGCUGCCGUACCAUCUAACACCAACAUCGGCAUGAUGCAACUGACACGCCCUAUGCAAAACCUUCUGUAUGGAUAUAUCCCCACCUGACUUCGUAUUGUCGACUCGCGGCACCAGAACAUAGCCCUCGGACUUGCAAAAGUUGUCCGCUUCCUUGAACUCAAGCAUGGAGUCUGAAAUCAUAUAAUCCCACUUCUUGCCCUUGAACUUCUUGCCUUUCACUGUGCACAGGGAUAGCGGUUAGGUCAUGUACGGGGAUCAGGAAAGGACUGGAGGGGAGUGUGGCGUGCUUAAUAUGGAUGGCAUCAGUACGGUAUAGAACAGUACCUCUAGUGCCGUACAGUACAGUGCCGUUCAUCGCUGUAAACGGCUUUGUUACCUUUCACCGAAUAGUGUUCACCAAGAAGCUAAGCAGGCAGCACACUUCCAAUCGAGGCCAUUAUGUAGGACAAGACUGAUUGGGACAUACUGCGAUGUAGUGGUUACAUGUGCAUCCCACCCAACUUACCCUUCAGCUUCUCGACUUUCUCGACUUCGACCUUCACGGGCUGUAGGGGAAUUUGGGGCUGCUUGGGAGCCUUGGGCUGCUUAGGGGCCAAAGGCUGCUUGGGGGCCUUGGGCUGCUUAGGGGCAGUCGGCUGCUCUGGGGCCUUGGGCUGCUUAGGGGCCAAAGGCUGCUUGGGGGCCUUGGGCUGCUUAGGGGCCAAAGGCUGCUUGGGGGCCUUGGGCUGCCUAGGGGCCUUGGGCUGCUCUGGGGCCUUGGGCUGCUUGGGGGCAGUCGGCUGCUCCGGGGCCUUGGGCUGCUUGGGGGCCUUGGGCUGCUUAGGGGCAGUCGGCUGCUCUGGGGCCUUGGGCUGCUUGGGGGCCUUGGGCAGCUUAGGGGCAGUCGGCUGCUCUGGGGCCUUGGGCUGCUUGGGAGCCUUGGGCUGCUUAGGGGCAGUCGGCUGCUCGGGGGCCUUGGGCUGCUUGGGAGCCUUGGGCUGCUUGGGGGCAGUCGGUUGCUCAGGGGCCUUGGGCUGCUUGGGAGCCUUGGGCUGCUUGGGGGCAGUGGGCUGCUCGGGGGCCUUGGGCUGCUUGGGAGCCUUGGGCUGCUUAGGGGCAGUCGGUUGCUCAGGGGCCUUGGGCUGCUUGGGAGCCUUAGGCUGCUUGGGGGCAGUGGGCUGCUCGGGGGCCUUGGGCUGCUUGGGAGCCUUGGGCUGCUUAGGGGCAGUCGGUUGCUCGGGGGCCUUGGGCUGCUUGGGAGCCUUAGGCUGCUUAGGGGCAGUCGGUUGCUCAGGGGCCUUGGGCUGCUUGGGAGCCUUGGGCUGCUUGGGGGCAGUCGGUUGCUCAGGGCCCUUGGGCUGCUUGGGAGCCUUGGGCUGCUUGGGAGCCUUGGGCUGCUUGGGGGCAGUGGGCUGCUCGGGGGCCUUGGGCAACUUGGGAGCCUUAGGCUGCUUAGGGGCAGUCGGCUGCUCUGGGGCCUUGGGCUGCUUGGGGGCCUUGGGCUGCUUGGGAGCCUUGGGCUGCUGAGGGGCAGUUGGUUGCUCGGGAGCCUUGGGCUGCUCGGGAGCCAUGGGCUGCUUAGGGGCAGUUGGUUGCUCGGGAGCCUUGGGGUGCUUUGGCGGCUUGGGCGACGGCGGCUUGGGCGACGGCGGCUUGGGCGACGGCGGCUUGGGCGACGGCGGCUUGGGCGACGGCGGCUUGGGCGACGGCGGCUUGGGCGACGGGGGCUUGGGCGAAGGGGGCUUGGGCGAAGGGGGCUUGGGCGAAGGGGGCUUGGGCGAAGGGGGCUUGGGCGACGGCGGCUUGGGGGACGGCGGCUUGGGGGACGGCGGCUUGGGGGACGGCGGCUUGGGGGACGGCGGCUUGGGGGACGGCGGCUUGGGGGACGGCGGCUUGGGGGACGGCGGCUUGGGGGACGGCGGCUUGGGGGACGGCGGCUUGGGAGAAGGCGGUCGCGACGGCGGCUUGGGCGACGGCGGCUUGGGGGACGGCGGCUUGGGGGACGGCGGCUUGGGGGCCUUGGGCUGCCUCGGUGGCUUUGGCGACGGAGGUUGGGGCGACGGAGGUUGAGGUGCCUCGGGCGCCUGGACACAACACAAUUGAUGUAUGCGGCGUUUGCAAUGUGAAAUAAGGUGUAGUAAGGGAUCAUUUAAUUAGUUUUUUAGCUGUUGAGCACUUUGGACCUCUUAUCCAGUCAGGAGAGAGGAAUGUAGUGGAGUCAGGACAUCAAAGACAGAGUGGGAUACCGGUGGGCUGUGGUAGGCUGGAAGUAGAUGUGCAGCGGCGUUAACUUGCUCACCUUGGGAGGACGUGGCUUAUUUGAGUUUCUUGAUUCAACGUCUUGUGCACUCACUCCUGCAGAGAUACACCACACACGGGGCCACAAGGCCGUGCACCACCUGGUUCCCUGGCAGAUGCCCGCAGGAUUCGGGUCUCGGCACCCAAUGGCCUCUCUCCAGCCACGUCCCCCAUGUCCUCCGCCACUCACCCUGCGGUGCCAUCAGGCACAGUACGGCCACCACCGCCAGCAGCACCAGGCGGCUGGUCAUGGCCCGGUGGGGGCUGCUGGACGCUGCAAGUCGGGUCAUGUGGGACCACGUGAGGGGGGGCUGACUGUUAGGGACCUGACCCGGCCUAGUCACAAGUCGGGGGAAGCCUCAGCAGCAAGAUUACAGCUUAGGUCGAGGUUCACGAGGACCCAGCCAAGCAGGUGCUCCGCUUAGGUAGAGCGGAGGAACUGCGCGUCACCUAAACACCAGCCACCGCUCUGCAUGCAAGUUCAUCAGUGUUCGAUGUUCAUACCACGACACCUACGCAAUGUUUUAUAGCAAGACUGAUACAGCGCCAUUUAGUUUUCAGGUGAUGGCUUAUGGGACUGGCUUCGUCGCUGACAGGCUCGUGCAGCAGUGGGGGGCUUGACGGCCCAGCCGGUUCGGUGGGCCGUUCCGAUUGCAGCGGACACUGGUGGGCGGCACUGGAUGGAUCGCCCUCUUCCCCGAUACCAACUUGGCGGCCUGCACACCUGCGCGCGGAGAGAAUGAUGCCGACUAUCCAAGUAAUUCGUCAGAACAACAUUCGCAGCUAGGCUGGCUGCAAAUGUCGUUUGGCAGGUAGGACGCCCGCGGCCAUGGCAAAGCCAUUACCAUUAGCCAGCAGCAGCAAGGGAUCCAGAGGCAGCAGACCCACAUGGCCGGGGACAUGACAGGAUACACCGUGACGCGUGACGAGUUGGCACCUGAGCGCGUUAUAGGCUUGACGUAUCGGUGCCGAUACAGUCCUUUUCACAAGCUCGUUAAAGCGCUUCAUUCUUUCGCUGUCCGGCUGCCUAUCUGAGGCUGCUGAUACGCGCAUUAGUUGCUGUGGGGUUGCCCUCAUGAGGUUGUUUGGACUGUCUCGGGACGGACCCAGAGGCGUAUGGCUGCAUCAGCACCUCCGAACAACAAUUGUCUGGUCCCGCAGCGGGAUAACUGUCUGUGUGUAGGCAACGAAGCUGCAUGUCGCAGCACGCACAUAUGCAGCAGUGCAGCAAUUAAUGUUACUCCGGAAUGCAUGGAUGUCCCGGCCAAGCGGGAGGACGGGUGCCGUGCUUGUGGCAAAAUCAUUCAAUGCGGCGGUCUAGUGCGACGGCACUAGAAACUGCCUAUCCGACCGCAUCGCUAUCCAUGGGUUGGUGUCGUGGCUGGCUUCCGUACGGCAGCUAUAUAUUGCGCUCUUUCCCCCGGGGAAACGGCCACACCAGCCCUUGGAAAAGUCGGGUGUCGGCUUCCUCGAAGCCGGAAAAAGGGCGGGGGGCCCCUGCAUCCGUACAGGCCGGUAGCUAGGGUAGUGUCAACGUGGUGGGAUCUGUGCUUGUUGCAGCUGUGCUGAUGCUGUGGGAGCUAUGCUUGUCAGAGCGCGGGAGGCAGGAAGCCGGGGCUCAUAACCUGCUGAAGAGACCAUGUCUCUCUGGAACCUAGCAGACAUGGCUAAGAGUCAUUGGCCAUUACACGCAGUCUGGAGGUCCGCGACCUGCCACCGACAGCCCCUUGCUUGGGCGUAAGCGUAUGAGUCUGAGGUGCCGUUACCGGCACACAGCAGGGGCUCGGCCGCCAAGUCCGCGGUCCAGGCCGGAUGCUCAACGCUCAGCAGACACAAUCGCAGCUUGCCAGCCCUCAGCCUUUUGGCUUUGCGGUCUGGUGCCGCAGCCAUAAUACACACGGAAACAGCGCCAUACAGCACCGUACGCACUGCCUACGGCGCCCCUUCAGGCAUCGACCCGCCUGCUCACGCGCCCUUGGCGUCCCCCUCAAAGCCUAGCUCGACACACUUCCCAAAAGCCCCCAGCACUUUCCGGCAAAUUUGUCGGCCUGCUGGUGGCAAGUCGGAAUGCCCUUGCGGGCAAAUGGUAACACAAGCUGGGUGUUCGAGUUAUCAUACGCACGACCUCAGGAUUGGAAUAUUUGUUGUUGUUGUUACAUGGUCGUGGGUGCGUUCCCCGUACGAGCCGAGGGCUCAAGGGCUGCCAAAUCGCCUAUAAACACCAUCCUACCUCGCAGUUCCAACGAAACAAGUAAUGAAGGAUACUAACGACCAAAGGGAAUGAUAGAGUUGCGGUGGGACCAUAUGCGUUCCAGCAUCCUUGCCAGGCGUUCAGGUUCCCACUUCAUAGCGUCCUUCAUAUGCUCGAAGCGUGGGAAACCCAUAUCAGAUCUGAUUUUGUUGUACACCGGACAGUCCAUCAAAAUGUGCUUCUCGUCCUCGAUAUGGCUAUCAGUGCCGCAGCAAGGGCAUACUCGCUCCUCCCUUUGUAUAUAACGCCGUCCCUUACGCGCUCUGUUAGCCGCCAAUGCCCAACAGCAAAGCCUAAACUGCAUAAGCUUGCGGUUCGCUGAACGCGGGAUAAACAUUGCGAUAUGCGGGAGCACCUCCUUCCUGCCCGCUUGCUCGGCCGCCAGCCCCAUCCAAUGCUUAUACUUCGCCAUGUGAAUUCCUGGUUGCUUGCCGUCUGACGGGUACACGUCAGGCUGGACAUCUAAACGCGUAUGCUUCCAACCACUCGCUAAUCGGUCCUUGAAGUCCAAAACCACACCUUCUGGCAUUGGCCUGUUCAUCAGCCACUCCACUCGUUCGUCUACCUCGUGUAGCCCUUGCGGGGCCUCUUUCCAUACGUCGUGCCCCAAAAAACAUAGAAAACGGAGGAGUAGUGCCCCCAUCCGGCCCCUUCGGGGUUGGAGAGGGACUCUGCGACCUCCUGUCGUAAAACUUGGUAUGCCACAGACCCACGCUGUAAACGAACAUGGUUCCAAAACCUCACAACCUGCUUGAGAACGUGGUAGUGUAGGGGUAGCUGCGACAGCUCUGCAAACAGGAGGCGGUGUGUUGGUCUGGCAGCUCCUACAAUUUGUGGCAUGAAAGAUAUCUGAAGCUGCACUGCUGUGUCCUUUAGGCAUGCCUCGAAGGGCCCCUCUGCAAGGUUACUCGCAUCACUCCGCCUCUUGAGCCUGUCCAAGACCUCAGCUAGCAUAAACGGCCCCCAGACAGGCCACAGCUGUCACUCAUGACAGUCUGACAAGUUACCCAAACAGGCCACGGGACGACAGGGCAACCCUUCGCAUCAACACACGGCCACAUGGCCACACGGCCACACGGCCACACGGCCACAUGGCCACAUGGCCACAUGGCCACACGGCCACACGGAUACACGGACACACGGACACACGGACACACGGCCACACGGACACAUGGCCACACGGCCACACACGGCCACACGCACACACGGCCACACGGACACACGGACACAUGGCCACACGGCCACACACGGACACACGGACACACGGACACACGGACACACGGACACACGGACACACGGACACACGGACACACGGACACACGGACACACGGACACACGGACACACGGACACACGGACACACGGACACACGGACACACGGACACACGGACACACGGACACACGGACACACGGACACACGGACACACGGACACACGGACACACGGACACACGGACACACGGACACACGGACACACGGACACACGGACACACGGACACUCGGACACACGGACACACGGCCAUGGGCAAUCCAACAGAGCGGGGUCCCCCUUGGUUGCGGUCAUGCGGUCAAUUUUCCACUAUUACGUUGCUUAUGUGCCAUGUAUUUCCAUAGCUUGUCUGACGGUAGUUCCCAGCAACAUGCGGCUUUUAUGAAGCUAGAUAGACGUAUGGUAAUACCUUCUCAUCCGUACCGAAUAUGUAUGUGUCUAUAAAUCCUUCAUACGCACACCCAUGGGAAGCUCAGCAGGUCAACAGGUGCAGUAUACUCGUACAGUCUUUAGGUACGACUAAAAACUGAAAUCGCUGCGUGCAGUAGUAGUGUGUAACUCAGCGAUGCACACCUAGACGCCUGCUGCCGCGUUAGUCUGGGUGGAGCCGAUGGGUGGUGGUAUCCAUGGCAGCUGUUACACAGAUAAAGCUCGAGUCCCCGGAAAAGCUUGCAUACGUGUGUGUAAUGUGGAGCAUUUUGAUAGCCAUCAACAUCGUCAGUCAUAACCUACCUAGGAAGGCACGCUGUGUCAAAGCAACGAACCAAGCAAGCAACUGCGUGGAUGGUAACCGCAACAAACACCUACCAAUGGAUCACACCCAUUAGUUCCCUCAAGCAGAAACCUGCAAAGAUAACGAAGGGCACACAGCCCAGUCCAAGCAAACGCACAGCACCGACCCCGUGGUAUAUGAUAAAUGCUCUACUAACGGCUCACUGGUACCAUCCACUAGCACGGGUAUUGCUCCUGGCCUUGCUAGCGUGUUUUGUAUAACGUCUUUGAACUGUCACUUUUCCUCGUGUCCAUAUCCGAUCGUAGUGGCGAGGUCAGCAAGGCAAGCACACACUCAUGCACUCCCGGGCAGUGCAUCCGCUGCGGCUCAACACAGAAUCUGAUCACUGGCUAGCAGGCGGAAGCCGGUCACUCCGCCAAAACCCAAACUACCGGGCCGGCCCCCCCUGGUCCUCCGGCUAGCCUCUGAACAUGUGGAGACCUAGAUCACGAGUUUCUGCCGUACCAAAGUGCGCCUCAACCUGCACCUGGACACAUGGCCUCCUAGCGAGCGCACCCCAGCCAGCUGCUGGGACAUAAAAAAGCGAGCAGGGAAGAACCUGCUCCUGGCCAGCUGUGUGAAUGCUAUUGCGGUGCGACGAAGCCUAUCAUAUCCUUCUCAUCA